GAUUCUCAAGGCGCUGUUCGUGUUUGUGCUGCUGGCGACGGCGCUCAAGCUGCUGCUGAGUGCGGCGGGGAUCG
rnacentral:tRNA from 1 species